rnacentral:rRNA from 1 species
GAGGCAUACCAGGGGAACUGAAACAUCUAAGUACCCUGAGGAAGAGAAAACAAUAGUGAUUCCGUCAGUAGCGGCGAGCGAACGCGGAUUAGCCCAAACCAAGGAGCUUGCUCCUUGGGGUUGUAGGACGUCUCACAUGGAGUUACAAAGGUGUUUGGUAGGCGAAGAGGUCUGGAAAGGCCCGCUAGAAGAGGUAAAAGCCCUGUAGCCCAAACCAAGCACUCUCCGAGACGGAUCCUGAGUACGGCGGGACACGAGAAACCCCGUCGGAAUCCGGCAGGACCAUCUGCCAAGGCUAAAUACUCCCUGGUGACCGAUAGUGAAGCAGUACCGUGAGGGAAAGGUGAAAAGCACCGCGGAAGCGGAGUGAAAAAGAACCUGAAACCGUGCGCUUACAAGAAGUCAGAGCCCGUUAAAUGGGUGAUGGCGUGCCUUUUGUAGAAUGAACCGGCGAGUUACGAUCACGUGCAAGGUUAAGUCGGGAAGACGGAGCCGUAGCGAAAGCGAGUCUGAAUAGGGCGAAUAAGUACGUGGUCGUAGACCCGAAACCGUGUGAUCUACCCCUGUCCAGGGUGAAGGUGCGGUAACACGCACUGGAGGCCCGAACCCACGCACGUUGAAAAGUGCGGGGAUGAGGUGGGGGUAGCGGAGAAAUUCCAAUCGAACUCGGAGAUAGCUGGUUCUCCCCGAAAUAGCUUUAGGGCUAGCCUCGAGGAAUGAGCGUCGUGGAGGUAGAGCACUGAUUGGGUGCGGGGCCCGCCAAGGGUUACCAAGUCCAGUCAAACUCCGAAUGCCAUAGACGUGCUACUCGGGAGUCAGACAGUGAGUGCUAAGAUCCAUUGUCAAGAGGGAAACAGCCCAGAUCAUCAGCUAAGGUCCCCAAGUGUGUGUUAAGUGGGAAAGGAUGUGGAGUUGCAAAGACAACCAGGAUGUUGGCUUAGAAGCAGCCACCAUUUAAAGAGUGCGUAAUAGCUCACUGGUCGAGUGACUCUGCGCCGAAAAUGUAACGGGGCUAAACACACCACCGAAGCUAUGAC